CUCAAACAGUAGUUGCGGGAUUUCCUAGCCUCCCUGAACGUCCCGCCGACAUCUUUGAUUGGUGUCACCUGUGUUGAUGUCGACAGGAAGAUAGAAGCUUCUACAUGAGGGACAUUUUCAUCUGGUGCUUCCAGAGGAUGUCAGGACCACUCAGGGAACUGUCCCCUUUGAAAGUGAACCAAGAGCAGCACUAUCUUCAUGCCAUGGAAGGCAUUCAUCACGUCUGAAGAUGGAGGAUCAGGAGCAGACAAUGGCUGACUGUGGCAUCUGAAGCAGACAUUCCCAUUGUCACGGCGUGGACUAUGAAGCAGCUUGCUGCGAGGAUUUCGCAGCUCGCCGCGAGGAAUGUUUUCCCGUGGUGCAAACGGACAGGACCGGACAUCGGAAGAAGGUAGGAACAUGAUUUAAUCUCUACUCAAUAAAGUACAAACAAAAACAAAAGGCGCACACAAGGCGGAGACACAAACUUGGCGCAGAGUACAAAAACUAACACUUAAACAGACUAAGGACAUGAAACAAAAAAACACUU